CCUACGGGUGGCAGCAGUGAGGAAUAUUGGUCAAUGGGGGAAACCCUGAUGCAGCGACGCCGCGUGGGUGAAGAAGCGCCUCGGCGCGUAAAGCCCUGUCAGCAGGGAAGAAAAUGACGGUACCUGAAGCAGACGCCCCGGCUAACUACGUGCCAGCAGCCGCGGUCAUACGUAGGGGGCAAGCGUUAUCCGGAUUUACUGGGUGUAAAGGGGGCGCAGACGGCGAUGCAAGCCAGGAGUGAAAGCCCGGGGCCCAACCCCGGGACUGCUCUUGGAACUGCGUGGCUAGAGUGCAGGAGGGGCAGGCGGAAUUCCUGGUGUAGCGGUGAAAUGCGUAGAUAUCAGGAGGAACACCGGUGGCGAAGGCGGCCUGCUGGACUGCAACUGACGUUGAGGCCCGAAAGCGUGGGGAGCAAACAGGAUUAGAUACCCGGGUAGUC
rnacentral:rRNA from 1 species